rnacentral:rRNA from 1 species
GACGAACCGUGCGAACGUUGUUCGGAAUCACUGGGCUUAAAGGGCGCGUAGGCGGGCUGCCAAGUCUGGGGUGAAAUCCUCCGGCUCAACCGGAGAACGGCCUCGGAUACUGGCGGUCUCGAGGGAGGUAGGGGCGUGCGGAACUAAGGGUGGAGCGGUGAAAUGCGUUGAUAUCCUUAGGAACUCCGGUGGCGAAGGCGGCACGCUGGACCGGCAUUGACGCUGAGGCGCGAAAGCCAGGGGAGCAAACGGG